AGAUCAGAUUUGGGGAGACCUAAAAAAGAUCCCAGACAAAAGGCAGCGCCGCAGAGAAGGAGAUCCCCCUUUUUCUUCAAUACCCAAAACACGCUGUUGCUUCUUCAUCUCACAACCAAUACAAGAUGAUCAGAUCCCUUACCCCUUAGAGAUACAGAGAAACGGCGCCCCAGGUCAUCUUCUUCGGCUUGAUUUCUCUAAAAAACCAACAUCCUCCCCUUCUUUUCUUCUUUCCUUCACUCACCUUUCAUUCAUGAUUGACACACGCGAAAUGCACAAAUGGCUGAAACAAAGCUAAAACAAAAACACAAAUGAAGAUCUGAAAAUCAGAAAUCUUCAAAACUAAAGAAAAGUUCAAAAAAAAAGAGAAGAAGAGCCGAUAGUUGUUUUCAAGUUUAACGGGUUUGCUGCACAUUUCCUGGGUAAAAGCUUUUGAAUCGAAGAAACUACUGUGUGCUGCUGGUUCACUGCAUUGCCGAGAUCCAGAUUCAUUUCUUAUCAUUGUUUCUUUUUUACUCUAUUGGAGCAAGUGUGUUGAUGACCAAGAAUAGUUUGUGGUUAUUUCCAAUUGGUAAUAAUGUGUAAGAGUUAUAUGAAAAAAUAGUAAGGUUUAGAUGGCAGGAAAAGCUCGUUGGUUUGAAUAGUGUUAAUAUCAAAUCUCUUUCAAAUUGAUGUAAUUAGACGUACUAGAUUGAAUUGUAGUCUUUUAUCAUUUUUUUGUUAACUAACUGUAAUUGUUUGAUUAUUGAAUUACCUCCAAUGCGUAUA